rnacentral:rRNA from 1 species
AAUGGGCGCAAGCCUGAUGCAGCCAUGCCGCGUGUAUGAAGAAGGCCUUCGGGUUGUAAAGUACUUUCAGUCGGGAGGAAGGUGUCAAGAUUAAUAACCUUGGCAAUUGACGUUACCGACAGAAGAAGCACCGGCUAACUCCGUGCCAGCAGCCGCGGUAAUACGGAGGGUGCAAGCGUUAAUCGGAAUUACUGGGCGUAAAGCGCACGCAGGCGGUUGAUUGAGUCAGAUGUGAAAUCCCCGGGCUUAACCCGGGAAUUGCAUCUGAUACUGGUCAGCUAGAGUCUUGUAGAGGGGGGUAGAAUUCCAUGUGUAGCGGUGAAAUGCGUAGAGAUGUGGAGGAACACCGAUGGCGAAGGCAGCCCCCUGGGUUGACACUGACGCUCAUGCACGAAAGCGUGGGUAGCAAA